rnacentral:misc_RNA from 1 species
AAGUCGUAACAAGGUUUCCGUAGGUGAACCUGCGGAAGGAUCAUUAACACGUAUCCAACGUUAAACCCCCUGUGAACCUUCAUUGUACGAGUUACAUCCACGUCAUAAACCGGCAAUCUCUGGUAAAUCAUCGCCGAACAGUUUUGAUUCAGAGACCUCUGGGAAGGGUGUACGGUAGUGCGACCUCUGCUUGUUAGUGUCUGAAAGUGUCACUAGCUAUGUACGGAUGGCGCAGUAACGAUCGCUGGAGGCCGACACGGCCGGCGACCAGGUCACUGGGCCCUGAUCACAACCUUUGCAUGAAAACGGGCCUGCGCUGAGGUGCGGCCACCCCUAAUGCUUGAACAAUGUUAACAAUGGAUAUCUUGGUUCUC